rnacentral:rRNA from 1 species
AGCUUGAUGAUUUUUAAUAUUAAGUAAUAUCUGCCCAGUGAAUAUUUUAACGGCCGCAGUACUUUGACUGUGCUAAGGUAGCAUAAUAAAUUGACUUUUAAUUGAGGUCUGGAAUGAAUGGGAUAUUGAAAAAAACCUGUCUUAAUAAAUUUUUUUUUAAAUUAAUUAUAAGGUGAAAAUGCCUUAUUAAUAAAAAAAGACGAGAAGACCCUUAGAGUUUUCAUAAUAUAAAAUAUUUAUUUUAUUUAUUUUUGUUGGGGUGACAAAUAAGCAUAAUUAUUAUCAACCUUUAUUUAUUCUUUUUUACAUGCCGAAAAAUUAUGAAUGAAUAAACUACCUUAGGGAUAACAGCAUAAUUUUAUUUUAAGAUUGUGACCUCGAUGUUGGACUAGGAAAUUAAUAAUUAGAAAUUAAAAUAAAAGGUUCUGUUCGAACUUUUACUCCU